rnacentral:rRNA from 1 species
UACGUAGGGGGCAAGCGUUGUCCGGAAUCAUUGGGCGUAAAGAGCGCGUAGGCGGUCCGAUAAGUCGGGUGUGAAAACUCCAGGCUCAACCUGGAGACGCCACUCGAGACUGCUAUGGCUAGAGUCCGGUAGGGGACCACGGAAUUCCUGGUGUAGCGGUGAAAUGCGCAGAUAUCAGGAGGAACACCGGUGGCGAAGGCGGUGGUCUGGGCCGGCACUGACGCUGAGGAGCGAAAGCGUGGGGAGCAAACAGG